rnacentral:rRNA from 1 species
GACGAACGCUGGCGGCGUGCUUAACACAUGCAAGUCGAACGGAAAGGCCCUGCUUUUGUGGGGUGCUCGAGUGGCGAACGGGUGAGUAACACGUGAGUAACCUGCCCUUGACUUUGGGAUAACUUCAGGAAACUGGGGCUAAUACCGGAUAGGAGCUCCUGCUGCAUGGUGGGGGUUGGAAAGUUUCGGCGGUUGGGGAUGGACUCGCGGCUUAUCAGCUUGUUGGUGGGGUAGUGGCUUACCAAGGCUUUGACGGGUAGCCGGCCUGAGAGGGUGACCGGCCACAUUGGGACUGAGAUACGGCCCAGACUCCUACGGGAGGCAGCAGUGGGGAAUAUUGCACUAUGGGCGGAAGCCUGAUGCAGCAACGCCGCGUGCGGGAUGACGGCCUUCGGGUUGUAAACCGCUUUCGCCUGUGACGAAGCGUGAGUGACGGUAAUGGGUAAAGAAGCACCGGCUAACUCCGUG